rnacentral:rRNA from 1 species
UACGUAGGGUGCGAGCGUUGUCCGGAAUUACUGGGCGUAAAGAGCUCGUAGGUGGUUUGUCGCGUUGUUCGUGAAAACUCACAACUCAAUUGUGGGCGUGCGGGCGAUACGGGCAGACUGGAGUACUGCAGGGGAGGACUGGAAUUCCUGGUGUAGCGGUGGAAUGCGCAGAUAUCAGGAGGAACACCGGUGGCGAAGGCGGGUCUCUGGGCAGUAACUGACGCUGAGGAGCGAAAGCGUGGGGAGCGAACAGG